CCCGACAAAAGUGCUUAUUUUCCAAAAGGUAUUUUUUUUCUCUCAUCUUUCUCACAUAACAACAACAAUACACUCAAAUUCUUCAUCUAGUUUUUCAGAAAAAAUUGAUAAAACAAACAACCAACAAUCAGAUUCAGUUUUUGAUUUGGAAUUGUUUCAAUUUCGGUUUCGCGGUUCUAUUUGAGCUUCACGAGUAUGUUUGGUUUUCGCGAAGGUUUUUUUGUUCAGAAACCAAUUGCUACUCAGUUAUGUUUUGCUUCGAGUUUGGAGGUUUCGACUCAGUGCGGAGUUUGGAUUCGAGCAGAGCUUUUUCAAGGUUCAUAUUUUGCAUUCGAGCCAAGUUUUCGAUUUUGGUUUAAAUUAAAAUUAAAGCUAGUAUACAACAUCGUAAAGCUAAAUUGGAUGAUCGCUUACCAGUUCAAAUGAAGAAAAAUGCAGAUUUUAUCCUUUCUCGCAAGGAAAUUUGAAGACAUUUUUGACGUGGACCACUUCAUUGACUACUUAAAGUAUGAUGUCCGUAUUGUCCGCGAUAUCCCAGAAUGGUUUAAUGAUAAAACAGAGCUAUUUUCUAGUAUAAGGUUUGAUAGAUUCUUGUCCCUUUGAGUAGGGUAUGUUGAAAAUAUAAAUCCCAAGCUGCAGCCAGUGAUGAAGAACUAUUUACAUAUGCACAAGGAAUGUGUCAUGUAUCUAGUGAAAGGACUUCUUUAUACGAAAGUGGAGGAGUAAAUCUUAGCCAUAUAACUGUUUAUGGAUGGUCAAGAUUGAAUGUUUUUCUAAUGGUCCACCAUUUAAAAAGUCACAUGAUUUUAUCUUCUGACCCCGACAUUUCAUGGUUCGAUCUAAGGGCCAAGUUUUAUUCCUCUACUAGCGUAAAGAUGACCUUCUCGAUAUGUCUCCACCUACUCUGAAAGUAAAUUGUCAAAGUUAGUCUAUUUAAUAACUCAUUGUAGAUAUUUAAGUUUCAUCAAUUCAAUGUCUACAAAGAAGUUGCUAAAUGAAUUAACUAUGACAAAAGUUACUUUUGAACUAAGGUGGUCUCAAUCAGAUGUGUCUGUGUGUUUGUGUAAUAUCAAUUUGAGGGAUUGAUUAGUAUGGCCAAAGCCAGUAUCAUGCUUGUUUGUUGUUUCAUUCAUGAACUGAUUGACAUAAGGUUUGGUUGAUCUGCUGCAUUUUGUUAUCAAAUGGCGUUCAAUUAUGAUUUUGCAGUUAGAUUCCAGUGCCUUUUAUUUCAGUCUGUCAAACGCACAAAUUCCCCUGCCAGUAUGUAAAAACUAGUUUUUAUGUUGGUUUUCUAUUUCAUCCGAGGAUUUAUUUACAUGGAUUUUGGUUCAAGUGCUGAGUGUAUAGACCAAAUAGCUUGACUAUUAUGAGUUUAAAUUACUUCUUCACUAUGAAUAUCCUGCAUUGAUGAUGGUUUGAGAGGCCAUGGGUUGUUGUGAAUGGACAGAGAAGACACAAACCAAAUCUCCUUUGUAUAUGCCUUUUAUAUUCAACUUUUUACAUGCUACUCUUAACUUUGGCAAAUUAUUAAUACUGUUAUCAACAUUUUCCAAUAAUUGCUCAAUAUUGAUGCCACUGACUUGACUAACAAAGCAAGAAUGUGUUGUCUUUCAGACGAACUCUGAAGAACAUUCCAAAAUAUGCACCUACACAGUUUUACAUUGACAAUGUUCUGCCUCGCAUCAAGGAGAAAAAGAUUAUGGCUCUGAAACCAUUUGUUGAUAGGCUAGGAUAUGACAAUGUUCCUUCAGAAAUCAACAAGUUGAGAUGUAGAGUCAAUUAUCACGCUUUGAAGUUUCUUCCUGAUAUAGAGCAGAUGGCAGAUUUAUUAGCAUCGAGGAUGAGAAACAGAACAGGCAGUUCAAACCCAUAUAUGGUUUAGUGCCCCUAGCUGGCUCAAACAAUGAAUCAUAGUGCCAAGGUCUAGACGAUCUUGCUUCUCGUUCGACUGCAUAAUACCAGCAAGGUGCCAGUUUCGCCAAAUGGUAAGUGUAUGCUUGCAUUGGUACUACUUGUCAUGAUCAUUUUAUUAACCAUACGAGUUUCUAUCGUAUAUUAGGCGUACUGUCGUGAGCAUCCCCAACAGUCCUUCUGCUCUUGCUGUCAAGGAAGCAGCAUGGGGUCUUGCUCGCUAUGCUGCAAUUAGUCAGAUUUGAGAAAGAUUUGAUUAAAUCGUCUUCGACUACUGUCUUUAGUUCAAAAUCAAAAGGUUGAGGAGCAAAAUCUACAAGAUCAAAUGCAAAUGGUUGAAGAGGAUAAAGACAUGAAAAUGUGGCCAAAACAAAAAUCAAAGAAGAAGAAAACUUAUAUAUGAAGAAAGUGUUAUGACUUAGUUAAAAUAUAAUUUUUAUGUAUAUGAUUUUAUAGUAUGAUUUUAUAGUACUUGAAAUAUUAUGACUGUACAUGAUUUUGUAUACUUUUUGGUUAAUAUUAAAAAUAUUUUGACUUAGUUAAAAUAUGAUUUUUAUGUAUAUGAUUUUAUAGUAUUUGCAAUAUUAUGACUGAAAAUAAAAUAUAA